CACAUUCCUGCUUCUUCAUUGCACACUUCUGUCUUCAUGCUGUAGCAAUCAGUUGUCACGUUUUGCUAACACACUGACAUUUGCAACAUGAUUUUAUAAUCCAGAUCAGCUCAAAGAAUGAAAAUGGCUCUUUAUUGAGAAUAUUUAAUGGACAGUUUUUUUGUUUAGUUUUUUUGGUCUAGUUGUGAAGAAAAUACAGCAAUUUUAAAGAAGGAGAGCAGUCACUAAUUUUAUAUUUGUAUAAUUUCAUAUUAAGACGUGUGAAAUUAACAAUCGCUGUUUAUAUUUAUUCAGAGCAAGUUCUCAAUAGAUGUAAAAGCUACGAUUUUAGAUCACAUUUUUGUAUAUUUGAUUUAUUUGGCAUAGUCUUUAAAACAAAAAAUAAUAAAACAGACACAUUUUACUUAAACUAAUGAAGUACUUGCCGUAUGUAGGAAGAAGCACAAGUCUGUUCAACAGAGCUGAUUCAGUAAAAGAGCAAAAGCACAGAUUAACAUUGUGGGAUUGGUUGUGAGCUCAAGAACCGAUUGUACACAAUGCAUGUCAUUUCUGUACCAGGCAGUCUGCCAAAACAACAGCUUGUGGAAUGUUCUACUCUAUGAUGUAAUAGUGUGGAUAAAUCCCACCUCCACAGAAGAAGAUCAGCGGCUGCUUCUACAUCACUGCCGGUUUAACCCCGCCCACCGAUUCUACAUCACUGCUGGUUUAGCCCUGCCCACCGAUUCUAGUCAAGUCAAGUCACCUUUAUUUAUAUAGUGGUUUUAACAAUACAGAUUGUGUCAAUGCAGCUUUGCAGUAUUAAAUAUGAAAAUAGUGUGUCAAUAAUGAUAUAACGACUUAAAACAAACUCAAUUUUCAGUUAAAGGCAGUUCAUCGUUGAAUUCAGUGAUGUCAUCAUCCAGCUAAGUUCAGUUUAAAUAGUAUCUGUGCAAUCAAGUCCACGAUAUCACUGGAAAUGAAGUGUCCCCAACUAAACAAGCCAGAUUCUACUUCACUCCUGUUUAACCCCGCACACUGAUUUGCGUAUAUAGUGUUUAGGAUAGAGGGUAACGCAGGUCUACACAGAAACCAAACAAUAAAGAUGCCUUGAAGACAAGACGCUGUGCGGUGCCAAGUUAAAUAGUGUUUGCUUUGUCUUCCUUCUGAUCCCAACGUUAGAAAAGAGUGAAUUAACUUUAUUUUUAAUGAAGUUCCAGACCGCAUUAGUAAGAACUCUGUCCUUUGUUCACUUCAUUUUCGUUUUGAUGCAAACAAGAUUUGAAGAUUUGUUUUCAGAAAGAUUGAAACUAAAAGGCAAUGGUGUGGCUAUAUUGGAUCCGACAGUAAUGUCACAACACAAGUGUGAGUAACUGUUUUCAUUAUGUGAUCACUAUUGCUCUGUUUAUUAUUACAGAUCGUUUUACAUGAACUGAGUAUUUAUGCAUUUUUAAACUAAAUCACAGCAGUGUCCAUCUGUGAGGAAUGUAGACUGUCAUUCAUACAUAACUGUUAGCCAAUCACAGCAGUGGGCAUUUACUUCCGAGUCUACAAUCCUCCACGCCAGCAUUCUGAUGAGGGGGGUUAAAACAGGACAGCAAAUAGCCUAUUUCUUCUAAAUUAUUAUGUUUUCGAUGUAAAAAUUUUGAUAACAUUAUAAGUGGACCUCAGAGAACAGUACAAAAUAACAGAGGCAGCUCAUGAUCCCUUUAAACCUGCCCAAACAGAUCCACCGCAAACUCACGGUCGAGACUCAAAUAUCUUCAUUUUUAACACUAUUUGUAUAGUUUUAUCAUUUUGAACCUAACAAGCUUCUUUUUGUGAAAUGUUUCGCUUGAAAAUGAUGGAAGCGUUAAGCUGAAUUCAAUUUGAAAUGAAAAAUGUAAAAUGUCAAUGUAUCCCUGUAUUUGGAUUAACAUUUCCUAUACCUAUGAGAAUUAAUGGAAAUAAAUAUGUACAAAAUUGAGAAGAAUUCAUUUAUGUAAUUUUCUUUGCCAUUUCCAACACUUCUGCUAGCAUUAUAUAUAUAUCGAACAGAACAUAUUACGAUUUCAUUUGUCACCUUUAUUUAUAUAGCGCUUUAAACAAAACAGAUUGUCAAAGCAACUGAACAACAUUAAUUAGGGAAACGGUGUCAAUAAUGCAAAAUGACAGUUAAAGCAGUUCAUCAUUGAAUUCAGUGAUGUCAUCAUGCAGCUCAGUUUAGUUUAAAUAGUAUCUGUGCAAUCAAGUCAACAAGAUCGCUGUAAAUGAAGUGUCCCCAACUAAGCAAGCCGUAGGCGACAGCGGCAAGGAACCAAAACUCCAUCAGUGACAGAAUGGAGAAAAAACCUUGAGAGAAACCAGGCUCAGUCGGGGGCCAGUUCUCCUCUGACCAGACGAAACCAGCAGUUCAAUUCCAGGCUGCAGCAAAGUCAGAUUGUGCAGAAGAAUCAUCUGUUUACUGUGGUCUUGUCCCGGUGGUCGUCUGAGACAAGGUCUUUACAGGGGAUCUGUCUCUGGGGCUCUAGUCCUGGUCUCCGCUGUCUUUCAGGGCUGUAGAGGUCCUUUCUAGGUGCUGAUCCACCAUCUGGGCUGGAUACAUACUGGAUCCGGGUGACUGCAGUGACCCUCUGAUCUGGAUACAGACUGGAUCUGGUACCUAUGGUGACCUCAGAAUAAGAAAGAAAUAUUAGCAUAGAUGCCAUUCUUCUAACGAUGUAGCAAGUACAUCGGGUGUUAUGGGAAGUGUUCCCGGUUCCGGUUUACCUAAUUAAUGCAGCCUAAAAAUCCUUUAACGGAUUUGGAUAUUAGAAGUGUAUUAGUAUGUUAUGUGUAAGCCUGGUUAAAGAGAUGGGUCUUUAAUCUAGAUUUAAACUGCAAGAGUGUGUCUGCCUCCCGAACAAUGUUAGGUAGGUUAUUCCAGAGUUUGGGCGCUAAAUAGGAGAAGGAUCUGCCGCCCGCAGUUGAC
ensembl:lncRNA